GGUCGUGGCUCAGUGGUGGAGCAUCUGCUUGUGAUGCAGAAAGUUCCGGGUUCGACGAUGCUCCAGCCGAAAGGAUCG
rnacentral:tRNA from 1 species